AUACCAGAGCCAAAAGGUCUAAGCCCACAUGAGCUUGCUCAUAAGUGGGUGAAAGACCUUAGGAUCCGCCCCGAUAUGAGCAUAGAAGUGGAAUGAUAAUCCCCCAAUAUGCGAAUAUUGGGUAGGAUUGUGGGAGUGCGUAGCACGAAGUAAUCCGUAGGUAUC
rnacentral:sRNA from 1 species